rnacentral:rRNA from 1 species
CCUACGGGAGGCAGCAGUGGGGAAUAUUGGGCAAUGGAGGCAACUCUGACCCAGCAACGCCGCGUGAAUGAUGAAGGUCUUCGGAUUUUAAAGUUCUGUGAUGGGGGGUGAACACAAUGACGGUACACCAAUAGCAAGCCACGGCUAACUACGGGCCAGCAGCCGCGGUAAUACGUAGGGGGCAAGCGUUAUCCGGAGUGACUGGGCGUAAAGGGUGCGUAGGGGGUUUAGUAAGUUGGCGGUGUAAUUCCGGGGCUCAACCUUGGCGCUACAGCCAAAACUAGUGGACUAGAGUGCAGGAGGGGAAAGUGGAAUUCAUAGUGUAGCGGUGGAAUGCGUAGAUAUUAGGAGGAACAUCAGGGGCGAAGGCGACUGACUGGACUGUAACUGACACUGAGGCACGAAAGCGUGGGGAGCAAACAGGAUUAGAUACCCUAGUAGUC